rnacentral:rRNA from 1 species
AAAUUGAAGAGUUUGAUCAUGGCUCAGAUUGAACGCUGGCGGCAGGCCUAACACAUGCAAGUCGAACGGUAACAGGAAGAAGCUUGCUUCUUUGCUGACGAGUGGCGGACGGGUGAGUAAUGUCUGGGAAACUGCCUGAUGGAGGGGGAUAACUACUGGAAACGGUAGCUAAUACCGCAUAACGUCGCAAGACCAAAGAGGGGGACCUUCGGGCCUCUUGCCAUCGGAUGUGCCCAGAUGGGAUUAGCUAGUAGGUGGGGUAACGGCUCACCUAGGCGACGAUCCCUAGCUGGUCUGAGAGGAUGACCAGUCACACUGGAACUGAGACACG